GCCAGACUCCUACGGGAGGCAGCAGUGGGGGAUAUUGCACAAUGGGGGGAACCCUGAUGCAGCGACGCCGCGUGGGUGAAGGAGCGUUUCGGCGCGUAAAGCCCUAUCGGCAGGGAAGAAGGAGGACGGUACCUGACUAAGAAGCCCCGGCUAACUACGUGCCAGCAGCCGCGGUAAUACGUAGGGGGCAAGCGUUAUCCGGAUUUACUGGGUGUAAAGGGGGCGCAGACGGCAGCGCAAGCCAGGAGUGAAAGCCCGGGGCCCAACCCCGGGACUGCUCUUGGAACUGCGCGGCUGGAGUGCAGGAGGGGCAGGCGGAAUUCCUGGUGUAGCGGUGAAAUGCGUAGAUAUCAGGAGGAACACCGGUGGCGAAGGCGGCCUGCUGGACUGCGACUGACGUUGAGGCUCGAAAGCGUGGGGAGCAAACAGGAUUAGAUACCCUUGUACA
rnacentral:rRNA from 1 species